GUUGAAACACCAGUUCUCGUAUGAUCACUGAAGUUAAGGAACAUCUAGCCUGUUCAGUACUUAGAUGGGUGACCACUUAGGAAUACCAAGGGCUGCAAG